rnacentral:tRNA from 1 species
UCCCUGGUGGUCCAGUGUCUAAGACUCUGAGCUCUCAAUGCAGGGGACCUGGGUUCAAUCUCUAGUCAGGGAA